UUUUAGUCUACUUGGUGUCACUUGGGACAUUCAUAGGAAGUAAACAAGCUGGGGGUGGGGGAGGUUUGUGUGUUUAAGCAGAAUUUGCAUAUGUCAUCUGUUUAUCCUUUCUGCUGGAUAUACAGGAAAUGCACAAAUCCAACCCAGGGAAGGAUCUCUGUGGAAGGAAAGAAAGGCUUUCCUCUGGGGAAGGGUGGCUUUGGCAGAAAGGUGCAGGAGGGCGGUUGCCUCGCUCUCAAUCCUUCUUCUCUUGUGAUUUCUCACCAAGGCUUAAGCAGACCUUUCCCAGCAUAUACUGCUCCUUUUUCAGCUCACCAGCAGCCUUUCCCAUUGCCUCUGAGCUGAGCUCUCUGUGGCUGCCUUCCCAGAAAAGGAGCCACUUUGCACAAGGCAAAUCUGUGAAGAGAAAGAGGAGGAGGAAGAAGAGGAAGAGGAGGGCCACUACCCUUGACCUGCCAGUUCCAGGAAGAAAGGAGACUCAAAGUGACUUCUCCUUUGCAGAAGCACCUUCCAGGUGAAGAUGGUGAAAGGCACUCUCCUGGCUGCAGUAUUGCUGCUGUGGAUGAUGAUGAUUAUUGGAGCAGAGAGCAGACCUCAUGGGAGCAACGCCCCGACUGUGGCUCUUCCGCCUUCCCCAAAGAAAAGGCAGGAGGGACCUUCCUGGACAGCGACACUGCAGAGCUCUCCGAGGGGAAAGCCGGGCGGCUUGAGGCCUUCUGUGGAGGAGGGCAGCACCCAUCCACAGCUCUCCCGACCCUCGCCAGGGCCUCGCUGCAUUUCAUUGGCGCUGGAGACAUCUUUCCAGAUCUCUGCCUCUGCGCUGGUGUUUGUGGCCUUCUGCGGAUGGGGAGUGGUGCUCCCUUUCUGGCAGCCGGAAAAGCUUCAAAUCAGAGGGAAGUUGUGGAAGUGGCUCAGCAUCUACGCAAAUGGAUUGGCCUGCUUGGCUUCUGCUCUGGCCCUGGUGGCCCUCAUCCUCUGGAGCUGUGACCAAGGAUUCCCUGCCAUCUUCAUCUUCCCCACCAUCCUCCUCCUCCACGUGAUCCUGGUCACAGGGCUGGUGGUGGUGACUAUCACCUUCCAGCUGGACAUUCUUAAUCAGGUCACCGACCGGACAGCGCAACGAAUGCUGGACCUCACCACUCCUGGAGGAGUGAUCCUUGUGGCUGGGAUCUCUGGUCUGCUGAUCAAGCGCAUUCACUACUUGCAAGUGGAAGCACGUGUCGAACCUGUUGAUGUAACAGCGAUUGUUGUCGGGGCAGCUGGGAUCUGCCUCUUUCCAGCCAUAGUCAUCGUCGUGGCCCACUGCAUGGACAUGCAUAAGCGGAUGAAAGAGGAACGGAGUUCCCGAAAGGAAAAAUGGCGGGAGGCCAAGCAGCAGGAAGAGACCCUCCCUCUGUAAGGGCCCUCGACCUGGGGAGCCUGCAUGCCUGGCCCAAUCAACACAUUGCUCCAGACCCUCUUGUCUCUCACUUGGAAGACUGCUAGGACCUCCUCCUCAAAAUCUUUUGACUGAUGGGUCCCCUUCGCCUGUGUCUUUUGAAGCCCCAAUAAAAGCCUUGAUGGAUGGACCCCUGUGUACGUGUGCAUUGAAAUGGGCUGCCCACCCCUCCCCACCCCAAUUACAUAACAACCUCUUUGAACCUCUUUCC
rnacentral:lncRNA from 11 species